rnacentral:tRNA from 1 species
GGGGGUAUUCCCGAGCGGCCAAAGGGGUCAGACUGUAAAUCUGAUGGCUCAGCCUUCACAGGUUCGAAUCCUGUUACCCCCA